rnacentral:lncRNA from 1 species
UCGCUCGUGGUGGCACCCGCGUGUCUGCACGCCUUCAAGCCCUGGUGUGUGGGCCCUGUCCGCCGAGAUCCGCUCUGAUAACCGAAGGCCGCUUUGACCGCCAUGGCCGAACUCCACCGCCAUAUCCUGGGGCUCAUCUCUAUAAAACAUGCUGAUCUCUGGGAAUCCACCGUUUGUGGUCGACUGGGGGAAGCAAGCAAGAAUUCUUCCCCCCAUAGCCAAUGUGAGUUCGGGCGUGGCCUGUCCUUCGUUGGGUGGGAAUUUCGUCACCGAGCUUUAACCUGCGCCGGAACCUCUGGUGAGAAUUUUCCUAGCCGUUCUACGUUGUCAUCCAUAGUGUGUAGUACUUCGUAGGCUACGGGUCUGGGGGCCGGGCCGACUGGUGUGCCGUGCACAGGGGUGGGCAUCUAGGCGCUAGAAUGGGUAUUGUUGGCUUGGUUUCGCCAUGGAUGUUGGACCGACCUGGGUUGAAGAAGCGACGUGGACCGUGGGAUUCAUACGUGGUCAGCCAGGAUUAGAUCGCAGAGUACCACUUUGGCGUGGGAUCCGUGACCGUUGGAUCGCAGACGCGUGGCCAUGAUUAGAUCGGACACUAUAGAAAUCUAGACCACCGGAUCUCGGGUGAAUGGACUAAUUAGAAUAGACCUUACCCUUUGGUGGAUCUAAUCUGUACCGCAUAUUGGGGAUCCGACGAACCAGAUUGGGCGAUACCCUUUCGGCCCAACCUUUUUGUUAAUGGGCCCCUGCUUUUUAUUCAUAUUAACCCGUUGUCCAAGCACCAUUAGAAAGUAAUUCAAAAUAAGUCAUGUUAUUAGCAGUUAGUCACAUAGACUUUGUGGAAAUCAUGCGCACAGAACAGGGCUCUGGUGAAGGGAAUAAAAGGAUUAUAAAAAAAUGUUUUCUGUAUAAAAAUAAUUACAGAAUCUUAGUUAAUUCAUAGAAAAUUCAUUGUAGCUCCUAUUUAGUCCAUUCCAGUUCCUAUAAUUUUGUAAUAAUAUUGUUUAUUACAUAGUGUCUCUGUUUUGACAUGAAAACCAUAUUAAAAGGUAUCUCCUAAUUAAUCUUGUAUCAAAUACAUAAAACCUUCAGAAAAUCAUAACUCCUUCAUUUUAAUUCCAAAUUGAACCGUUCCAGUUGCAUUAGUUUCGUAUAAGUAUUUACUACGCAGUAACAACAACAAUUAUACCAUAUUGCAUAACUUUAUAGUUAAAUAUUUAUUUACCCUAUGUUAAUUGGAUUAAUCUAUGUCUAUUGGAUUAACUUCUAAUCUUAUGGUUAUAAUUUGACUAGAUGAUCUUUAAUCAAAUAAUGACUUAGAUUAAAGCUGAGAUAAUUAUUUAUAGAAUAACCUCUCAUAUGAUUUAUACUAACCAAUUUGUAAUAUAGAUUGAUAUUUUAAUCACAUAGAUCUUCUAUAAAAUCAAAACUCCUUAAUCGUAACUCCGAUUUUAGUGGUUCUCGAACCCGUGAUCUCGUAGCUUCACGUAGAUCAUCAUUAUUCAGUUUGUACUUAUGUUUAGUGUGAUGUUAAUUGUCUAUACCAUGUUUGCUUGCAUUUCUACGACUAGCAGUGAGGUUACGAGCCACUAGAAGAGCAAGUUGGUACCUGGAAUCUCAAGUGCCAGGCAAGUUGUGCCCUUGAUCACCUUUAUUUACCCAAUAAUGUUCUUUAUUAUCACCAUUCAAUGCAUAGAGUUGUGCCCUUGAUCACCUUUAUUUACCCAAUAAUGUUCUUUAUUAUCACCAUUCAAUGCAUAUGUUUAAUUUUGAUGGGAGGCAAUAGGUCACCCUAGUAUGUUUAUCAUUUUUCCCUUGUUUACCCCUGAAUCAUUUGGGUAGUUAUGCUAUUGCUUUACAUGGUUUUGGGCUAAUAUUUCAUUAUAUCCAUGUUCCAAUUAUUCUAUUAUGUUAUUUAUGUUCAUGUCAAGAUCAUUAAUUUUAAUUGGAACAUGGAGCUUAACUUGAGAAACACGUGCCACUAUAAGGGUAGAAUGGGACGACCUUGGCUGACUAAUUAGGGACGCUAGUGGAAGACUACCUUACCCGAGGCAAGGGCAGUAGGGGAGUUGCAUGCAAAGAGGUUCUCGGGUUGAUUUUGCUGCGAUGGCGGUUAGACGAGGGAUUCUUGCAAGUGCUCUUCCCAUAAACUGUAGCGGGUUUUAGGAAGCUAGUGGAACUUUGUAAAGGCCUCGUAGUGGAUCCCUAGCCAUUCACCUCGGUAGUGUCUAAGGGUCUAGCUAACCCUGGCGACAUGGGAUACACGACUUGUGGGUACAGGGUACAACCUCUGCAGAGUGUAAAACUGGUAUACUAGCCGAGCUCACGGUCAUGAGCAGCUCAGGACUCUCACAUGAUUAAUUUAUGUAACUUAAAUUCAAUUUGUCAUUUGCAUUUGCAUGUGAUUAUUUAUUAAUUUUGUUCUAGUAUUUAUUAUGGUUUGGUAUUUACUUACACUUAGUAACUACUAAUAAAAUUUGACCAACUUAUUAAAAGCAAUGCUCAUCUUUAACCUCUAUUGUUGAUCAGCCUUACACAUCACAUGAACUACCACCUUUAGUGAGUUCAUGCACAUUAUUCCCCACAACUUGUUGAGCGAUGAACAUGUGUGAGCUCACCCUUGCUAUCUCACACCCCCCACAGGAGAAGAACAGGUGGUUCAAGAGGAGCCACACAACGAGGAGUUCGAUUCGAUCUAGGUGGCGUCUCCGAGUCGACUUUAUGGCGCCAAGGAUGGACUUUAGUUCGAUCUAUGUUUAUCUUUUAUUUUGUAAGACUUCAGCUAUGUAAUAAGUACUCUGAUUAUAUUGUGACAUUUAUCUCUAUACACUAUGUUAUUAUAUGUGUUGUCUUCUUUGGCGCAUAUAUGAGAUGCACCCGGCUUUGUUCCUUAAAUAUGGGUGUGACAGUCUCUUGUGCCAAUAAAAGUGCACACAGUGUUAAAAGUCCUCUGGCAUGUUUCAAUUUCAUUUCCAAGAGCAGUGGAUGGCCU